rnacentral:rRNA from 1 species
UACAGAGGGUGCGAGCGUUGUUCGGAAUUACUGGGCGUAAAGCGUGCGCAGGCGGUUUUGUAAGCCAGAUGUGAAAUCCCCGGGCUUAACCUGGGAAUGGCAUUUGGGACUGCAAGGCUCGAGUGCGGCAGAGGAAACUGGGAAUUCCUGGUGUAGCAGUGAAAUGCGUAGAUAUCAGGAGGAACACCGGUGGCGAAGGCGGGAUCCUGGGCCAGUACUGACGCUGAGGAGCGAAAGCGUGGGGAGCAAACAGG